rnacentral:rRNA from 1 species
AGAAUCAACGCUGGCGGCGUGCCUAACACAUGCAAGUCGCACGAGAAAGGGGCUUCGGCCUUGAGUAAAGUGGCGCACGGGUGAGUAACACGUGAAUCAUCUACCUCCGAGUGGGGAAUAACCUAGAGAAAUCUGGGCUAAUACCGCGUAACACUUACGAGUCAAAGCAGCAAUGCGCUUGGAGAGGAGUUCGCGGCCGAUUAGCUAGUUGGCGGGGUAAUGGCCCACCAAGGCGAUGAUCGGUA